rnacentral:lncRNA from 1 species
CUUUCUUUAGUCUCUCCCCACACUCCUCACAUGGGGCCUGGUUUCAGAUUACAUUCGGGAAGCUCCUGGGGAGGUUGUGAACCAACAGACCUCCAGAACUUUACGAGAAUAAAUGUGUGUUGUUUUAGGGCACCAAGUUUGUGGUAAUUUGUUACAGCAGCAAUAGGAAACUAAUACAAUCACCAACUUUAGAGUCACUGACAGCGACCCCCUCCAGCUCAGUGUGGAAGAGAAUGAAACAUUCUAGAGGGUGCGACAAACUUCCUCUUAGGAGAAACCCAGGGUGAAGCGGACGUAUUCCAAGCCUGAGUAUGGAGGAGACUGUUGUAUCUGCGAUUCAAGGUGAAGUCUGGAGAUUCAAGCCCCUAACCAGCUAUUAGAAUUCCUGACAGAUGAGCACCCAUCAAGUUACAACUAUUUUUGGAAAAAUUACCCUGGAUAGAAAACUGAAAACUGGAUGAAAGGAACCCCCACAACAAGGGACAGUCCUGACUAAGGUGGAAGAGGCAGAAAUUCCUGCUGGAGAGAAAAAAGCCACCUUCAGGAGCAGCGGAGUUUCUCAGCCGGCCAGGCAGGAGCCACCCUAAGAGAACCGUGACAUGCACAUACGCAGUUGGGUUAAGAAGAGACGGCUUGAUCGUGGACAUAGAAAGUGAAGUUUUCUCAGGGCUUAGCCCAGAUGUCUGUACAGUUUCCCAACUUUCAUGGACUUUUGAGCUUAUUUCAGCCUGACAAUAGUGCAAUGGUUUGGGAGAGGGAGAGAAAGAAAAGGGAUCAUCAUUCACUCAUAAAACAUGCUCCAUGUUACAUGUCUGAAUGUAAAGACAAAUAUGGCAGUAUCACUCUCUUCAAAUGCUUUUGGUCUAGUCAGG